UUAACAGAGCCACAUUAGGAAGGAUUAGCAGCCGCCUUGCAUCAGCACAAAAGCUAUAAAACAUUCUUCCUCUUUGUACCUUGAUCACAAGCCGCCUUGCAUCAUCACCAUAACUAUAAGAGACGACGACCGACAAAGAGACGACCCGUUAGCAGAUCAGAUUCGUUGGACGAAAUCUUCAGUCGAGACGAGUUGUAAGUUGCAGGUGAUGACUUGUACCAUUGGAGAGGCGGAAGUCAUCAUGUCCCGAAGACUCUAUUUAUACGCAUUGUAUUGAUGUUAUUUUGAGUAUUUUUAUUUUGGGAAUUCCCGCUCUGAUAGUGACAUCGGGUGGGGACUAUAUUUGCACUACGUUUGAAACAUAAGUAUGUGCACUUCAAAAAGGAUUAUGUUGUUGAUAUUAUGAUUUCGAUGUCAUUAUGUUUGGUGAAAAUUUUGGAUUUUAUGUGACAUGUUUAUGAUU